rnacentral:rRNA from 2 species
CCCUACCACGCAAUCCGUAGUGCUAUGCUGCCAGUCGAACGAGUUCUCGUUGAUGAUCGGUGCUUGCACCGAGAUUCAACAUCGUUAGAGUGGCGGACGGGUGAGUAACACGUGGGUAACCUGCCCUUAAGUGGGGGAUAACAUUUGGAAACAGAUGCUAAUACCGCAUAGAUCCAAGAACCGCAUGGUUCUUGGCUGAAAGAUGGCGUAAGCUAUCGCUUUUGGAUGGACCCGCGGCGUAUUAGCUAGUUGGUGAGGUAAUGGCUCACCAAGGCGAUGAUACGUAGCCGAACUGAGAGGUUGAUCGGCCACAUUGGGACUGAGACACGGCCCAAACUCCUACGGGAGGCAGCAGUAGGGAAUCUUCCACAAUGGACGCAAGUCUGAUGGAGCAACGCCGCGUGAGUGAAGAAGGCUUUCGGGUCGUAAAACUCUGUUGUUGGAGAAGAAUGGUCGGCAGAGUAACUGUUGUCGGCGUGACGGUAUCCAACCAGAAAGCCACGGCUAACUACGUGCCAGCAGCCGCGGUAAUACGUAGGUGGCAAGCGUUAUCCGGAUUUAUUGGGCGUAAAGCGAGCGCAGGCGGUUUUUUAAGUCUGAUGUGAAAGCCCUCGGCUUAACCGAGGAAGCGCAUCGGAAACUGGGAAACUUGAGUGCAGAAGAGGACAGUGGAACUCCAUGUGUAGCGGUGAAAUGCGUAGAUAUAUGGAAGAACACCAGUGGCGAAGGCGGCUGUCUGGUCUGUAACUGACGCUGAGGCUCGAAAGCAUGGGUAGCGAACAGGAUUAGAUACCCUGGUAGUCCAUGCCGUAAACGAUGAAUGCUAGGUGUUGGAGGGUUUCCGCCCUUCAGUGCCGCAGCUAACGCAUUAAGCAUUCCGCCUGGGGAGUACGACCGCAAGGUUGAAACUCAAAGGAAUUGACGGGGGCCCGCACAAGCGGUGGAGCAUGUGGUUUAAUUCGAAGCAACGCGAAGAACCUUACCAGGUCUUGACAUCUUUUGAUCACCUGAGAGAUCAGGUUUCCCCUUCGGGGGCAAAAUGACAGGUGGUGCAUGGUUGUCGUCAGCUCGUGUCGUGAGAUGUUGGGUUAAGUCCCGCAACGAGCGCAACCCUUAUGACUAGUUGCCAGCAUUAA